rnacentral:rRNA from 1 species
GGGUGGGGUGACUGCGUACCUUUUGUAUAAUGGGUCAGCGACUUAUAUUCUGUAGCAAGGUUAACCGAAUAGGGGAGCCGGAGGGAAACCGAGUCUUAAUUGGGCGUUAAGUUGCAGGGUAUAGACCCGAAACCCGGUGAUCUAGCCAUGGGCAGGUUGAAGGUUGGGUAACACUAACUGGAGGACCGAACCGACUAAUGUUGAAAAAUUAGCGGAUGACCUGUGGCUGGGGGUGAAAGGCCAAUCAAACCGGGAGAUAGCUGGUUCUCCCCGAAAGCUAUUUAGGUAGCGCCUCGUGAAUUCAUCUCCGGGGGUAGAGCACUGUUUCGGCUAGGGGGCCAUCCCGGCUUACCAACCCGAUGCAAACUGCGAAUACCGGAGAAUGUUAUCACGGGAGACACACGGCGGGUGCUAACGUCCGUCGUGAAGAGGGAAACAACCCAGACCGCCAGCUAAGGUCCCAAAGUCAUGGUUAAGUGGGAAACGAUGUGGGAAGGCCCAGACAGCCAGGAUGUUGGCUUAGAAGCAGCCAUCAUUUAAAGAAAGCGUAAUAGCUCACUGGUCGAGUCGGCCUGCGCGGAAGAUGUAACGGGGCUAAACCAUGCACCGAAGCUGCGGCAGCGAACGUAUCACCCAAGACAACUUUACGGAGUUGACGAUUGACGGAGCGAAGCGACGUCAAAGCGUUCAUUAAAGUCGAGUUGGCUUAGGGAUACGUUCGUUGGGUAGGGGAGCGUUCUGUAAGCCUGUGAAGGUGUGUCGUGAGGCAUGCUGGAGGUAUCAGAAGUGCGAAUGCUGACAUAAGUAACGAUAAAGCGGGUGAAAAGCCCGCUCGCCGGAAGACCAAGGGUUCCUGUCCAACGUUAAUCGGGGCAGGGUGAGUCGACCCCUAAGGCGAGGCCGAAAGGCGUAGUCGAUGGGAAACGGGUUAAUAUUCCCGUACUUGGUGUUACUGCGAAGGGGGGACGGAGAAGGCUAUGUUGGCCGGGCGACGGUUGUCCCGGUUUAAGCGUGUAGGUGUGUGUUCCAGGUAAAUCCGGUUCACUUUAACACUGAGGCGUGACGACGAGGCACUACGGUGCUGAAGCAACAAAUGCCCUGCUUCCAGGAAAAGCCUCUAAGCAUCAGGUAACACGAAAUCGUACCCCAAACCGACACAGGUGGUCAGGUAGAGAAUACCAAGGCGCUUGAGAGAACUCGGGUGAAGGAACUAGGCAAAAUGGUGCCGUAACUUCGGGAGAAGG